UUAGCGGCAUCAAAACGCACCGCAUUCGUAUUCGCCGCUUCAGAAUUCGCUACUCCCCCCCGCACGCCACGCCACCGCCGUCGCCCCGUGGACCCAAUUCGCCUCCCUUCCUCCUCCGCCGCCGCCCCGACCCAACCCUCGCGGCCCGGAUUCUGCGAUGAAGAUCACGGCGCUGCUGGUACUCAAGUCCCCGGGCGAUUCCUCCACCUCCGCCUCUGGCGUCGGGGAGCAGCAGGAGGAGGCCGUGGUGCUGGCCAACUCGUCGGACGUCAGCCACUUCGGCUACUUCCAGCGCGCCGCCGCCCGCGAGUUCAUCCUCUUCGUCGCCCGCACCGCCGCCCUCCGCACCCCCGCCGGCACCCGCCAGAACGUCCAGCACGAAGAGUACACGGUGCAUUGCUACAACCAGAAUGGACUCUGCGCCAUCGCCUUCACCGACGCCCACUAUCCCGUCAGGAGCGCCUUCUCCCUCCUCAACAUCGUGCUGGAAGAGUACCAGAGAACUUUUGGGGAGUCAUGGAGGACAACCAAAACUGAUGUGACCCAACCUUGGCAAUACUUGGAUGAUGCCUUAACCAAAUACCAGGCUGGUUCCAGUGCGGGCGGAGCACGGGCGGGCGUGAGGGAGCCGCUGCCGCCCGGACGUGGGCGAGAAUGCCCCCCGGCCACGGCGCUCGCGCUCGGCGAGAGCGGGCGGUAUCGCCCCACUCUCGUCCGCGCUGGAGCGCGCGCCCGGGUGAGAGGUGGCGAGAGUGAGGCAUUGGCCAGGCGCGUGGACGUGCGAGAGCAAGCUGACGCGAGCUGAUUGGUUGGUCCCCAUUUGAACACCUUCACAGAUCUCUUGUAGUCCGAUGGGUCACCUACAACCCUUCCGUUUGAUGAGUCUUCUCCACUACAUCGUCGCUCCGAUGUUUCAGCCUCAGUAUCCCGUGCAAUAUUUCCGGCUGCGCGUCCACCACCAUACCCUUAUCCCUAUCAUUUGUAUCAAUAUCCACCGUCUUCAUAUGGUCAACCUCCAACUUCCGAAGCUGGAAUUCAAGCUUCAUUCCCGAUACGUCUGUAUGCCCCUCCCCCACCUGCUACCGAUGGAAGUCAAGCUUCUUUCCAGGUACCUCCGUACGCCCCUCCUCCAUAUGCUCCACCUCCGCAUGAAGCACCUCAUCUAUAUGCUCCACCUCCAUAUGGAGCACCUCCUCCAGUUGCACCUUUAUUUGUUGGAUCUGAAAACCAAGCUGAGGAAAAUCUUGUGCCGAAGGAAAAUCGUCCAAAAAGGCUAGAGUGGACGACUGCCGACGAGAAAAAGCGGGUUUUAUUGUAGGUUAAUGCUUGGAUUCUGCAUUCUAACGAUCCCAUCUCCGGCAACAAUAAGAGCAGAUCAAGUUUCUUGGGCCAAAUAGCGGCAACAUAUAACUCCACCUCCGAGCAGUCUAUGCACUUAAUUAAAAAAUAUUAUGUUGUGCACUUAAUUCAAUAAAAAAUAUUAUGUUGUGUGAUUUCUGAGCAUUGAAAUAAAUCCACGUCAAUUACUUAAUUUUGAAAUAGAAAAUCUGAUGUGGCUAUAGGCUGAGGCUGUAGCCUGCUGCAGUCUGUGCACUGUAGCAGCAGAGGUGAGAGUGGAGUCGGGAGAUGACGUGGCAGGGGCGAUAUGGAGGCUGUGAACUGGAACCAGCCUCAGGCUGUUAUAUAUUGAAAAUGUAGCUUAUCCAGGAAUCAGAUCUUUGUAUGCAACGAAAUCGGGAACUCUAUGCGUGAUCCUGCAGAGGCUGACAAGUUGUUGAAAAUUCAGAGGGACUUGGAUGAAACCAAGAUUAUUCUUCACAAAACCAUCGAUAGCAUGCUUGCCAGAGGUGAAAGGUUGGACAGCCUAGUGGCGAAGAGUUCGGAUCUAAGUAUUUCUUCACAGAUGUUCUACAAGCAAGCGAAGAAAACCAACUCUUGCUGUACCAUCCUGUAGAGGAAGCUGUGCAUCCUUGUAGGCAGUGAUGCCAGACAGACGUGUAUGUAUUUCAUGCCAUGCCCUUCACUUUGCUCUCGUAACUGAAGAAUGGAUGGGAUGAGCCGGCCUGAUCGAUCGUUCGUUCUUCUUUUCUUUUAAUAUUUGUAACGUUGUGUGUGGCUGUGGCCUGUGGGAGUCGAAAGGGAUAAUGCGGCCUGCUGGUUUUGUUCGCCAAGGCAGAACAAUGAAUUCACUGGAAGAUGAAAGUUGAAAGGAACUGGUAGCA